rnacentral:rRNA from 1 species
UACGGAGGGUGCGAGCGUUAAUCGGAAUUACUGGGCGUAAAGCGCACGUAGGCGGUUUGUUAAGCUAGAUGUGAAAGCCCCGGGCUUAACCUGGGAAUUGCAUUUAGAACUGGCAGGCUAGAGUUUUGGAGAGGGUGGUAGAAUUUCCAGUGUAGCGGUGAAAUGCGUAGAUAUUGGAAGGAAUAUCAGUGGCGAAGGCGGCCACCUGGCCAAAAACUGACGCUGAGGAGCGAAAGCGUGGGGAGCAAACAGG